UUGACACCAUGCCAUGGUAAGGAGAUCAUCCUUCUGUGUUCUUCAAUACGAAAAUGAUCUUCAGUUCAUCCUCUUUGUGGUCAUGAUACCCAGCUCUUGAACGCUACAUGGAAGAAACUCCGGUGGGCUCGAACCUAUAUCAACACCCCACUGAUUGUUGUCGUCUCCGCUGCUGUACAGUGAGUGUGGAAUUGGCGCUGCUCCGUUGAUCGCAGACCCUGUCAUCACCCAUAGUCGAUGUCGGCCACCUUCAACUUCGUCUCCUGCUACAACUAACCCUGAUCAAUGCUGCUGCCGGUUACCGUUCACAUUCCCAGUGAUCCAGGCCUCCAGUCAUCGAACUCUUUGAUCAUGAUAUAGUUCCUGAUGUUGUACACACUUUCACAAAUCAGUUUGGUCAUAGGAGCCAUGGUGCCGGAGUUAUUGAUAUCGUUGUGCUUGCUGCUCCUGCAUCUAUGCAGCAGCACCUUUGCCGAUUGGCAUGCAUAUUUUGGGCAAUCCACAACUCCAUUUGACAAUCCCUUGGAUCCACAAAUGUAUCAUAUAUUUUUCCACGUCUCUGUAAAUUUUCAUGGCCAUAGAAUCUAAGAUGAAUGAGAUAUUCACUUCUUCUUGUGCUCACUGUUCCUGCUGCCCUGCAGCAGCAUCCCUGCCGGUUGGCAUGCAUGUUCCCAUUAUUCCCUCGCUCCACUGACCAUGUUGUUCGACCACAGUGUGUUUUAUAUCCUUGCACACACACCUAAGAAAUUCCAUGGCAAUAGGAUUCAAAA